rnacentral:lncRNA from 1 species
UGACGGAGUUUGAAUGGUCACAUUUAGGUAAGUUGAACUUUUUUUGGCUUUGUCAGUUUAUGUUAUCCUCAAACAGUCACAAAGAUGAACAUUUGAAUUCACAUGGUUUAAGAAAACUCAUUGAUUGAAAUGCUAUAGUAUUUUUUAUCUGUUGAAUGUUGAAUUAGAAUUUGGAAUGUUAUAUUAGAUGGAAAAGUUAGUUAUACUAGAUAAUUGUUUUGAUUGUCUAUAUAAGUUUGUGUUUGAUUUUCAAAAUGUUGGACUACAUGAAUGUCUACAUGAAAAGUUUUUCCCUCUAUUUUUAGAAUAGCAUAUUUAACUUUGUUUAUGCCUCAUCAUGUCCUUUACUUUUAUUUAUAAAGAUGUUUGUUUCCCUGUUAUAUUUUGAGGAGAAUGAAAAUGAUUGAAUUUAAUAGAUUUUAUUUUACCCUUUGUAGAGAUUAGAGAACAUGGAUGCUGUGAUGGAGCUCCUGCCUUAGAAAGAUAGACUUAAGAGUCUAUGAACGGUUCACAUACUAAUCAAAGUUUUAGGAAACAUGUCCAGUUAAACAUAGGUGAGAAUCAAGAAGAAUGUUAUCUUUUCAUUACUAUUGCUUUUAAUGUGUAGCCAAAAAUCAAUAAGAAACCUAGCAGCAUCAGUAAUGGGUAGUUUGAACAUUGAUAUUAGUAGCAUAGGAAUACAUGGGAUGGGAUGGGCUGGAGAAGAAGCAUGAUGACUGACCUAUAUAUUCAUGUGCUUAUAUAUUUAGAACCUAUAUAUUCAUGACCUAUAUAUUCAGAACACAGUGUCAUGUCACUUUCAUAAAUGUUUUCCUUUUUUUCUUUUCCUUCACACAUUGCUUUCCUUCUUGUCUUUCUCCAUCCCAUUUUGGUGAAAAACCAAAAGCUACUUUGCAAUCCUAUUCUACAAUGCUUUGACCAAUGCUUUCAAAAUCUAAAUUUCAAAAGUCCCUCCAAAAUCAUUCUCCUUCAUUUGCUACAUUUCAUUUUCUCUUCAAUUUUUUGUUUGUGGUCCUUUUGUCACACUAUAGUGUGA